AUUGAACGCUGGCGGCAGGCCUAACACAUGCAAGUCGAGCGGCAGCACGGGAAGCUUGCUUCCUGGUGGCGAGCGGCGGACGGGUGAGUAAUGCAUAGGAAUCUGCCCGAUAGUGGGGGAUAACCUGGGGAAACCCAGGCUAAUACCGCAUACGUCCUACGGGAGAAAGCAGGGGCUCUUCGGACCUUGCGCUAUCGGAUGAGCCUAUGUCGGAUUAGCUGGUUGGUGAGGUAAUGGCUCACCAAGGCGACGAUCCGUAGCUGGUCUGAGAGGAUGAUCAGCCACAUCGGGACUGAGACACGGCCCGAACUCCUACGGGAGGCAGCAGUGGGGAAUAUUGGACAAUGGGCGCAAGCCUGAUCCAGCCAUGCCGCGUGUGUGAAGAAGGCCCUCGGGUUGUAAAGCACUUUCAGUGGGGAAGAAAGCCUUGGGGCUAAUACCCUCGAGGAAGGACAUCACCCACAGAAGAAGCACCGGCUAACUCCGUGCCAGCAGCCGCGGUAAUACGGAGGGUGCGAGCGUUAAUCGGAAUUACUGGGCGUAAAGCGCGCGUAGGUGGCUUGAUAAGCCGGUUGUGAAAGCCCCGGGCUCAACCUGGGAACGGCAUCCGGAACUGUCAGGCUAGAGUGCAGGAGAGGAAGGUAGAAUUCCCGGUGUAGCGGUGAAAUGCGUAGAGAUCGGGAGGAAUACCAGUGGCGAAGGCGGCCUUCUGGACUGACACUGACACUGAGGUGCGAAAGCGUGGGUAGCAAACAGGAUUAGAUACCCUGGUAGUCCACGCCGUAAACGAUGUCGACUAGCCGUUGGGAGCCUCGAGUUCUUAGUGGCGCAGUUAACGCGAUAAGUCGACCGCCUGGGGAGUACGGCCGCAAGGUUAAAACUCAAAUGAAUUGACGGGGGCCCGCACAAGCGGUGGAGCAUGUGGUUUAAUUCGAUGCAACGCGAAGAACCUUACCUACCCUUGACAUCGUGCGAACUUGGUAGAGAUACCUUGGUGCCUUCGGGAACGCACAGACAGGUGCUGCAUGGCUGUCGUCAGCUCGUGUUGUGAAAUGUUGGGUUAAGUCCCGUAACGAGCGCAACCCUUGUCCCUAUUUGCCAGCGAUUCGGUCGGGAACUCUAGGGAGACUGCCGGUGACAAACCGGAGGAAGGUGGGGACGACGUCAAGUCAUCAUGGCCCUUACGGGUAGGGCUACACACGUGCUACAAUGGUCGGUACAAAGGGUUGCAAAGCGGCGACGUGGAGCUAAUCCCAGAAAGCUGAUCUCAGUCCGGAUCGGAGUCUGCAACUCGACUCCGUGAAGUCGGAAUCGCUAGUAAUCGUGAAUCAGAAUGUCACGGUGAAUACGUUCCCGGGCCUUGUACACACCGCCCGUCACACCAUGGGAGUGGACUGCACCAGAAGUGGUUAGCCUAACUUCGGAGGGCGAUCACCACGGUGUGGUUCAUGACUGGGGUGAAGUCGUAACAAGGUAGCCGUAGGGGAACC
rnacentral:rRNA from 1 species